rnacentral:tRNA from 1 species
CAAGGAAUAGUUUAAUGAGAAUAUCAGCUUUGGGUGUUGAUGGUGAAGUGCUGUUCUUCUUCCUUGA